CUUAAGGUAAGUUAAAGCAGAGUAAGAGAGAGAGAGAGCUCACAAAACGAAUACUGGAACAAAUACUCAAGAGAGAGAGAGAGAGCAGAGAGAGAGCACAGAGCAGAGAAAAAUGUAUGAAUCAAAAUGAUACCAAUUUAUACUGUAUGCAUAGGAUGUGGUUAACUAUAAAAACACUAAUAAUAACUACAUGCAUACCAUACACACAUAAUAAUAUUACCAUAGUAACAAACUACAUAAUCGUUUAUUUCUACUACACAAGUAACAAGAUAGAUAGAUGUAUUUAUAGAACUUCAUUAACUUUAUUCUGUUAAUAGAGUGAAGAAGAGACCAUAUCCUUCGCACUGGAAUCCCAUCAGACCAGAUCAUCGUUCUCAUCAUGGCUAGACAGGCAAAAGAAGUCAACAAGUCACUAUGAUGAUGAGAUGUCAGCUGAGCUAACUAAAAAAAGUACACAAUACAGGCCUGACAGGACUACUGCAGGACAGGGAGAAGUAAAAUGAUGCGAUAUUUUAUAACUGUCAAUGGCAAUAU